CGAACGCUGGCGGCGUGCUUAACACAUGCAAGUCGAGCGAUGAAGCACCUUCGGGUGUGAAUUAGCGGCGAACGGGUGAGGAACACGUGAGAAAUCUGCCUUCAACUCUGGGAUAACUCCGUGAAAACGGGGCUAAUACCGGAUAUGAAACCUUCAGGCAUCUGAGGGUUUGGAAAGUUUUUUCGGUUGAAGAUGAUCUCGCGGCCUAUCAGCUUGUUGGUGAGGUAAUGGCUCACCAAGGCGACGAC
rnacentral:rRNA from 1 species